GUGCUCGCUUCAGCAGCACAUAGACUAAAAUUGGAAUGACCCAGAGAAGAUUAGCAUGGCCCCUACUCAAGGAUGACACGCAAAUUCGCGAAGCGUUCCAUAUUUUU